rnacentral:rRNA from 1 species
GAUGAACGCUGGCGGCGUGCCUAAUACAUGCAAGUCGAGCGAACGGACGAGAAGCUUGCUUCUCUGAUGUUAGCGGCGGACGGGUGAGUAACACGUGGAUAACCUACCUAUAAGACUGGGAUAACUUCGGGAAACCGGAGCUAAUACCGGAUAAUAUUUUGAACCGCAUGGUUCAAAAGUGAAAGACGGUCUUGCUGUCACUUAUAGAUGGAUCCGCGCUGCAUUAGCUAGUUGGUAAGGUAACGGCUUACCAAGGCAACGAUGCAUAGCCGACCUGAGAGGGUGAUCAGCCACACUGGAACUGAGACACGGUCCAGACUCCUACGGGAGGCAGCAGUAGGGAAUCUUCCGCAAUGGGCGAAAGCCUGACGGAGCAACGCCGCGUGAGUGAUGAAGGUCUUCGGAUCGUAAAACUCUUUUAUUAGGGAAGAACAUAUGUGUAAGUAACUGUGCACAUCUUGACGGUACCUAAUCAGAAAGCCACGGCUAACUACGUG